CAGGCUCAAGUGCCACAACAAAUGCACCAAAGAGGCCCCUCCGUGUCACCUGCUGAUCAUCCACCGAGGAGGGAGACGAGCCGUGCGGGGCGAGGCAGAUUUGCAUUGCAAACCACUUCCACCCACCCUCCCCCUGCCUCCUUUUCUUUUCAGAUUCCCCACAGCACGGGCGAGGUUAGUCCGGACAGAGUCGGUGCCCUGCGACAUCAACAACCCCCUGCGGAAGCCGCCCCGGUACUCGGACCUGCACGUCAGCCAGACCCUGCCCAAAACCAACAAA